UGAUUAUUUGAGUCAGUGACAUGCUCAAGUAUAGCUCAGUCUAAGAAUAGAGCAUCCAGUCAGACUAUUCAUAGCAGUGGCUGCUACCUUAGUAUAGCAAGUAUCAUUGUUAAAGGGCUGUGCUAUUGCUGCCAUGGAAAUAAGAGCCUUCUGUUCCUGUUUUUCUUCUAUUUUCUUCCUCCGGCUUGACGUCAGUGCAGCUGUGAAGUGUGCAGCUCAACCCAGCAGCCGUCCAAGGUACGACCAUGCUUUAGUCAUGUCUGUCUGCAGAAGAGCUCGUCAACGUUGGCUUUGUGCACUUACAAGAGCCUUGGGGCAGAAAACACUGUUUUCUCUCUGGCAUUUACAAUGAAGAUACAGUUGCUAACUGAUCCACCCCACCGAAACAAUGGCCCCUGUUGAUGACUUCAUAAAGAAACUGUAAACACGGGCACAUGAGAGAAUACAGCUCCCUGUGAAAAUAUGGACAUGCCUUUCAAACCCUUCCAUACAGCAUGAUGCAUUCUCAAGAAAAGGCUGGAACUCAGUCUGUGCAGAUGUGGAAGUCUCUGAGUCAUCUGUUUGCCAUUAUUCACUUCAUAUUACUAAAGUUGUAGUGGAAUCAUCUCUAGACGUCUUAGUUGGAAUUUAAGGGAAUAUAGUGUGAGUCAGUACAGUCUUGUGGGAAGUCAGAGCACACCCAUAGUUUUGAAGAUGUGGGGUCUAGCACGUGCAAUAAAGGCAGACUCUUUCAUCCAGUAUGCAAGUGGUCAGAACAAUGAAGAUGAUGAUCAGGAGGAACAGAGCAUAGUACAGUUUUCUCUCAAGUUUUCCUUGUAUGGAGUAGUUACUGUAAUACUUGUGUUCAACAUUAAUCCAGUGACCAAAGAACUACAAGUAUUUAAAAUCUUAGGUGUGAAUCCUGUCAGCUCAGAAUUGUGAUGGAUGUUGAUCUAGAGUUAUGUUAAAGUCAUAUGCUUACAUGACUGUUCAGACUGAGGUUGCACUGAAAAACAUCUGACUUUUAUCUGAUUUAGCACUAAAGUGGCACAAAUGAGAAUAAAAAAGAAAAAACUGAUUCCAUAUGGUUUGUGUUGUUCACAAUGUUAUAUUGUAGUUAUAUUUGGGGCACUUUCGCCUAAGCCACUUUGUUUUUUGACUGAGGGGUAGUAUUGGAAUCAAUUGAACUGCUAAGCAGUUUAUGAUCUUGCGAUUUGUCUGGUGGUAGCUGCUCUGUCAUCCUUUCAUAUGCAGGAAAAUAUUAAAAAAGCAAGUGCAGAAUGUCUA